rnacentral:rRNA from 1 species
CACACCGCCCGUCACACCAUGGGAGUUGACUGCACCAGAAGUAGGUAGCUUAACCGCAAGGAGGGCGCUUACCACGGUGUGGCCAAUGACUGGGGUG